rnacentral:rRNA from 1 species
GUAGGUGGCAAGCGUUGUCCGGAAUUAUUGGGCGUAAAGCGCGCGCAGGCGGGGUUCGUUUAAGUCUGAUGUGAAAGCCCACGGGCUCAACCGUGGAGGGUCCUUGGAAACUGGAGAACUUGAGUACAGAAGAGGAAAGCGGAAUUCCACGUGUAGCGGUGAAAUGCGUAGAGAUGUGGAGGAACACCAGUGGCGAAGGCGGCUUUCUGGUCUGUAACUGACGCUGAGGCGCGAAAGCGUGGGGAGCAAACAGGAUUAGAUACCCUGGUAGUCCACGCCGUAAACGAUGAGUGCUAAGUGUUAGGGGGUUUCCGCCCCUUAGUGCUGCAGCUAACGCAUUAAGCACUCCGCCUGGGGAGUACGGCCGCAAGGCUG